GUCACAAACCAGGGUCUGCCCUUAUAAACCCAGGAAAUACCAAUCCAUUUAUAUCUCAUCGUCUUAACCCUGAACUUCUGGCUGCUGACUUUGGCACUUUAUUCCAGCUCUAACCAACCACAGUAAAAAGACACACGCCUGAGCUGCUCCGGUGCAGAGUGGCAGAGGACUCGUUCACAAAGCUCCAGCCCAGCUGACAGAAAAGUUAAGAUGCAACCUGUAAAGUCAAAGGAAAUGUUCUCAAAUCUUCUAUGUUGCUCCUCCAUGCAGCACCUGUAAGUACCUUCUAAAAUAUUUUGAUGCAAAUGCAAAUCUGCC